ACUCGAUAAGCAUCACAGCUGAAUCUGAAUCUGGUCAAACUGUCACUCUACUGUGUCGAGCUCAAAGCAACAAGCCCAUUGACACUGUAACAUGGAACAGGUCUGACAUAGCAGACAAAAAUGUCCUGAAGUACCACGGUCAGCAACUUCUUCUAUCAUACCAGCAUCCAUCUUUUAAGAACCGGGUGGAUAUGCAGAACAGACAGAUGAAGGAUGGAGACGUGUCUUUGAUUCUGAAGGACGUGAUGAUUAAUGACGCUGGAACGUACGAGUGUCGUGUCAUUCAGAGAGGAAUAAACCAAGAGGAGCUCAUCAGCAUCAUCACACUGAGUGUUAUUGUUCCUCCAGUUGUUACCCUCCACGGCUAAAUAAAGGACGAAAUCAGUUUCAGUAAUGUACUGAUGUACAUGGACAUUAGAGAGUCAUUUCAAAGACAAAAACUCAGCAAAAGAGGGAGAGAGAGGAACAGAGAGGGAGAUGGAGAAUGAGGACAGAACAGAGAUGGAACAAGAGCAGUGUUUCAGUGUAAAGAUGGCUGCAACAAGCACAAAGCGGCGUGCAGGUGAGAGAGAUCUGGUGGUAGACGAUUAACUUGUUCCAUUUUGUUUUACAGCACAGUGUUCAGUUCACUUUGAUUCAACUGUUUAUCCAUCCAAGCACGGCAAUUCUUUUAAAGGAGAAAUGAAAACAUUAUUCUUUUCUUUUUAUGCAUGAUUUUGGAGUAAUGGUUAUUAGUAGUUGGAUCAAUAGUUUAUUUUUAGUUUUUUUUAGUUUUUUUGGUUAUUCGUGCAUGUAUUAGGCAACAUUAUAAUAAAACACAGACUAUGUUUUCUUGGCUAUGCAGAGAUAAUUGUAUAUUUAUAUAUGAAGAAAGGCCUAUUUAACUGCAGGCACGCCUUAAAGCUUUUAAUUUCCAAAUUCAGACAAAAUUGAGGUUGCAGUAUUUGUCCCUAAAAAUCCCAGAAAUAUGGUGUCCAACCAGAUAUUUACAGAACUGAAUGGGGUAUACCAUGCAUCUUUUUCUCCCAACAAUGUCCCUGAGCUAUCCCGGGAAAUCCUAAGAUGCUCACAGGCCAGAUGAGAUGAUGUCAUCCCUUUAAUUUGUAACAUUUUAACAGUUUUAAUUUCUGAAACAAAGGCUUAGCAUAUGGUGAAAAUGCCAAAACAAUGCACUGUUAAUCUGGUGGAAACACUUGUAAGCACCAAGUAUUAGCAGUAGAUGGCAGCAGUCUUUAAAUAUGAUUUCUGUCCAUUUAAACAAAUGAAAUAUGCAUUGUAACAGACAGAGGGCAAAAUGUGUGGAGUCCAGCAGUGCACUAGUUGCUGAUCUUUUUCUUUUGUAUUACAGAAUAAAAUAAUAAUAAAGCAGCCUGCCACAUUUUUGUUGAACAGCAAACUGCACAGAAAAGUUCAGCAUGAACAUUUACAUUAUUUGAUCACUUCUGACUUCCAAUUAUAAAGUAUUUCAGUCCAAACAUUCAAUUCUCUAAUUAACGUUUCCUUAAAUUCAAAGCAGUUGUUUCAAGUUGUUACAACAACUUUCAAAUUCAGAGUACACACACACUGUAAAAUGUAAUAUUGUGUUUAAUUAAAAAUAUUAAAUAGGCUGAACUCAAUUUUUAUCAAUUUGUUAUUAGAACUCAA